rnacentral:lncRNA from 1 species
GCCUGAAAAGAUAAACAUGAAUUUAGAUUCCAUUCAUCGGUUAAUCGAGGAAACACACCUCUUCGGCAUGCAGCAGUCGGGGUUGGUGAGAUCAUCGUGCGACCUGGCGGCACCUGCCCCGGCCCGCGGGGACCCCCGCAGCUCCUGUCCGUCUCCUCUCGGGCCGCAGUCUCCUGCCGCCCUCAGUGGCCAUGCUCCCUCCUGGAGCACCAGCGAGUGGGAUAUCGGCGCUGAGCUUCGCCUGCGGGAGCUGGAGGAGGUCAAGGCCCGCGCCGCUCAGAUGGAGAAGACCAUGCGGUGGUGGUCGGACUGCACUGCUAACUGGAGGGAAAAGUGGAGUAAAGUUCGAGCCGAAAGGAACAGCGCCAGGGAGGAAGGCAGGCAACUCAGAAUCAAGUUAGACAUGGCCGUGAAAGAGCUGAGUGCUCUGAAAAAGAAGCAGCCUUUGCCUCAUCCGGCGGAGGCCACCCAGGACCGAAAGCUUCCUGGUUUCCCCGAAGUGGCCCGUGCACAGAGAGACCCAUUGCAAAUUGGUUCCAAAACGUGUGAGUCCAUCAGAGAGUGUUUGGGAAAAAGAGAAUUUCCCACCAAGGAGAACGCAAAUAGUAAGGAAGGGAGUUUAAUUAUUGACCCAUUAAAAUUAAGUGAGGGGAUGAAACUCAGUCUAGACUGUCCUGAUUUAUUCAAGAAUGGCAUUUCUGAAAAUUGUACAGUGAGACCUGGAUUAAGACUGCAGGCAAUAAAUCUGCCUCUGGAGAAUGAAGUGCCUGAAAUUUCAGCUUUGCAGGGGCAUUUGGAUGAUUUCCAAAAAGUCUUAUGGAAAGAAAGGGAAAUGCGCUUAUCUUUGGAAAAAGAGAUAGAACGACUGGAGUCGGCUUUGUCUGUGUGGAAAUGGAAGUAUGAAGAACUGAAAGAAUCAAAGGCAAAAAGUCUGAAACAGUUUGACAUUCUUCAUGGUCAACAUAAAAAUGAAAUGGAAGAAGUAUCAGGACUUAUAAGGGAAGAAUCAAAAUCUCAAAACAGCAAUGACAGAGUGGUCUAUGAGUUAAGAGCAGAGCUAGAGAGAUUGCAGGCUGAAAAUACAUCUGAGUGGGACAAGAGGGAGCUACUUGAAAAGGAAAAACAAGGACUGGAGAGAGAAAAUAGAAGGUUAAAGGUCCAGGUGAAAGAAAUGGAAGAACUCCUGCACAGGAGAAAUAGAUUAAGUGAAAACUCGGAAGGUCCUGAUUUCAAGACAUCAGGAGUCGAGCCACAGGAAAAAAACAAGGAACUGGUGGACCUUCAGCAUGCCUACUGUAAGCUAAGCAGACAGUACCAGGCAAAGACAGCAGAACUGACUCGCGCCAACAACCUCGUGGAUCAAAAUGAAGCCGAAGUGAAGAAACUGAGACUUCAAGUCGAAGAACUAAAAUGGGGACUCAACCAAAAAGAAGACAAGGUACUUUUUAAGUGA